UUUCAGGCUAAUCUUGGAAAACUGGAAGAUAAUAUUCUGGAUGAAGUUGAUCACAAUCGGAAUCGGAUGUUUUGUCACUAAUGUAGCCCAAUGCUGGCGCCAUCUGUUGCAACUGCAACUUCAGAAUCUGCAAUUUCCGCUGCCAAAGCAGUGACUUUUUCAUGUGCCAGUAAGCAGCAGAACGACUUACAAAUUACGCACUAAUUAAGCGGCUUCUGCUGCGGCCUCGACCAUUUUUCAAUGUCGGUUCGUUCACUUGGCGGCGCAAGGACCCGCAAGGACGCAGACACCGAGACCGAGACCGAGACGGAGACCGAGACCGGCUCAGACUGGGCAUUUGGGUCAGCUCAGCCUUGGCUUAUGCUGAUCAGCGCAGAACUUGCAGCGCGGCACAUUAGGCGACAAAAGUUAAUGUGCAUAAUUAAUUUGCUUUUGCACUUUGCCGAGGCUUCAUUUUGUUUUUUUGUGCGCCUUUUUUUUCUUUGGGCUCGCUUUUGUUGCUGCUCGCUCGGUCCGAGCAUAAAUCAAACUGAAGUGAGCUGUCAGCGGUAUUCAAAUAGGUACUCUGCCUCGAAAUGAUGUUGCAGAGCAAGGGAGGAGGAGGAGGGGCUGCUCUGGCAAUUAAGCUACCAAAGUUGCCAAGUGGCGCACGUGAGUUACAAAAGCCGCAGCUGUUGGCAGCCAGCUUCAAAUUCAUCAUACGCACCGUGCAACAUUUUUAAUUGGCUGUGAAAUUAAAUUUCAACCCACGCACACCUGCCAAAACACCCAAGCAUGGAGUUAGACGCGAAAAGCGCUGGCUGAGGGCAGGGGCUUUGGCAUUUUUAAGGCAGCAAAUUCAAUUGGCGGAGCAUCGUGCACAAUAAACAACUUCAAUUGCAGAAUUUACUAACAGAUAAUUGAAUAGCUUCUAGCAGCGACAUAGACAAAAAACAAAACCCAGACGAAGACACCCCUCAAGCUGGCAUAAAGAGGCUUUUGGGUGGGUGACACUGCCAGCAGCGGGAGCAGCAGCAGCUCCGCUCGGUUGGCUGCUGUCUUCACAUGCUCGGCGCUCGUAUAACAUGCAAAUGCCAAAUUCAAUAAACUCAAUGCCAGGCCAACAAAUAGACCAAAUUAUUGCGAAACCUACAGACAAACAAACAAACGUGCAACAUGCCCGUGCCACAACACAGCCAACUCGACUGAGCCACUUAGGGCACAAAAAUGCCAAUGCCAUUCCCAUUGCCAAUGCCAUUGCCAUUCCCAUUGCCAUUGCCAUUGCCACUGGCUGUGGCAAUACCAAGUAAAUUGAACGACAAAAGUGCGUGCAAUUGGCAGGCAUAUUGCGAGCCUAAGUCCCAUUUUGCCCGCCCUAUGCCACGCGGCGAUAGAUUUUGCGGCCAUCAGUUGUGCGUGGAGCGGGGACGGGUCGUAUGCGUGAUGUGAGCACAUUUGCCCGCCAAGCAGCCCAAAUGGCACAGCCAGCCAAAGACAGCAAUCCGACAGAUACACACGUACAUGUAACUGUAUCUUAAAAAAAAAAAGAAACGUUGCCAAACAACUUGUGGCAUAAGCCGGUGAUGACUUUCUUAGCCAAAUGUGUUGAAAUUUUGUAGACAACAUUUAAUGAAAUUAUAACUUAAGCAUAUCAUUCACAAUUUCACGGUCAUUCCUAUUGCAGGCUCUGUUUUCGGAUCUGCCGCAAAGGAACACAAUUCGCCCUGCUGUAAAACCCACUGCCUUGUGAUUGAAACUCGAUUAACUGCCCUUUAACAGCUACCUGGACUGGUUGCAGCUCUAUGUCAGUCCUAUAAAAUGAACUGAUCUUAAUUUGCUAUAAAUCGUGGCGUCACACUGGUUGGAUUUUUAAUGGGGCUCCAACUUAAGCGUUAAGCCCGAAAUUCAAAAUUGACAUUCGCUUUAAGAGAAAAACUUUCGGGAUCCAUGAGGAAUACGGCUUGUAUUUUCUAUGGUGACAAGGACUUAUCGACAUUGAAGCUUUAAACUCCAGCACAUCAUUUCUAUCACGCACAACCUGUCCGCCAAAUCUACAGUUCCAGUAGCUGAACACAGCCAUCAGCAAGAGCUUGGCAGAUGUUGACGCCACUUCGCAAGAGCAAGCCUAAACGAUACCGAGGGGAACAGUAAACUUGAUUGGAGAACACCUUAAGUAAAAUGUUAGCAAAUCAACUUGCUUAUGUAGCAAAGCUACAAUAACAUGAAUUAUAAUUAUAUU